CCAUGUUGAUCCAUUUGUGGUUAUAGUUAACCUUGAUUGUUUGCUGGCUAACCACAAAUGGUUAUAUGUUGGAUCUUCUAAUCUAUCUCAUCUCAAUGGCUAUAUGUUGGAUAUUCUAUAUCAAAUCUCAUAUCUUUAGGAAAUGUCAUCUCUGUGCUCAAACUAUAUCUCAUGAGGGACAAAUAUACAUAUGGAUCCCAAUCUAACUCUUUUGAACUAUCAUAUACUCUUCAACCAAGAAAUCUCAAGGCUUUCCUGCGGGUUAAGUCAAAACCGGAAGUUUCGGUUUCCAGAAACCAGCAUUUCUGGUUUCCAUUGGUUUUCCAACAGUUCUAUUUCAUGGGCCCGUAAAUUACCCCUCUCUCUCCCCCAUUCACCCUUAUCCACCCAGCCCGACAUUGAACAAUAGAGAGAGGCGGAAGAGGGUGAAAAGGAGGCGAUUCAAAGGGAUGUCAAUAUUCAACCGAGGGAUUCAAGACUUUGUUGUUGAUUCUUCCGAUUCAAGACCGGAGCAUUCAUUUCCCCCUCCGUUUUCAUCCUCCGUAACUCAAUAAUCAUGUUCAAGGUACCCUAAAUCAAGUUCAUCCCUGAUAUACCUUUCUAGGGCUAAUCUCUGAAUUUCCUGUGGUCAAAUCAUCUGCAUUAGAACCAUAGAUGCUACUCCUUGAACUAGAUUCAAGUUUCCAUGGCUGAACAGUUGGAUCCAUGAAUUAGG
rnacentral:lncRNA from 1 species